rnacentral:rRNA from 1 species
AGCGAACGCUGGCGGCAGGCCUAACACAUGCAAGUCGAACGGAACCUUCGGGAUUAGUGGCGGACGGGUGAGUAACACGUGGGAACGUGCCCUUUGGCUCGGAACAACUCAGGGAAACUUGAGCUAAUACCGGAUGUGCCCUUCGGGGGAAAGAUUUAUCGCCAUUGGAUCGGCCCGCGCCUGAUUAGCUAGUUGGUGAGGUAACGGCACGCCAAGGCGCCGAUCAGUAGCUGGUCUGGGAGGAUGAUCAGCCACAACGGGACUGAGACACGGACCAGACUCCUACGGGAGGCAACGGUGGGGAAUCUUGCGCAAUGGGCGAGAGCCUAACGCAGCCAUGCCGCGUGAAUGAUGAAGGUCUUAGGAUUGUAAAAUUCUUUCAGCGGGGACGAUAAUGACGGUACCCUAAGAAGAAGCUCCGGCUAACUUCGUG